UAGUGGAACUGGUGCAAAAUCAGCUUAUGCAUCAAGGCAAUUAGCGCAUUGGCGAGCCUAAAAACCGCCAUAGUCGACAUUCAAUUACUUGUGUGGGGUGCAUUUUUGUAUCAGCUGGUUAACAUCAAUUUUGGCUGUCAUAAAAAGGCUAAAGGGGAUGUGGUUCCUUCGGGAGUGUGAUAACCUUUAGCGGAAUAUGGUGGUCGGGAUUGAGGUAUGCAACGAAUACCUUUAGGGCUGCUCAAACUGGUCUGGU
rnacentral:rRNA from 1 species